UUGUCAUUCACGGAAAGUAAUUUGAACGUCGUUUUGUUUUUUCACCUCGGGCUUAGAAGACUUCAAGAAAAGACAAAGCGACGUACGCGCGUUUCGACAUUUUAGGAAAUAAGUGGUCAUUUUUGGCAAUUAUGUUCUGUAAUGACGGAAAUAGAUACAAAGAAAAAUAAAAGAGUUGGUGAAGGUCACGCGUUAUAAGGGAUGAUCGAAUUUUGGUGUUGUCGUGGACAAUUCUCAUUUCUCGUCAACCAGGCCUAUCGAUUUCAAAUUCUCAGUUUCAGAUUGGAGAAGAUGCUAACAGUCUAAUAAGUUACCACAUAUGAAAUUUGGAUUCACAUACGGAACAGAAAAUAAAAAAGUAAAAUAGAAAGAGUGUGACACGCAAGCAAUUUUGUAUUAUAUCGUAUUGCCGCCGAAUCGAAUAACUUCGGAUGCUUCUUAACUUCUUGAUGGAAAUUUC